UCGUUCAUUUAGUUGUUUUCCUGUUAUUGAUUUAAGCAUUGCAUUCAUUCUGCUCUAUGCUUGUAAUUGUAAUCACAUUCUCUUGCCCAUUUCUUAGAGAAGAGAAGAUUCUUGGCAUAGAAGAAGAGCAUUCUCGCUCAGAGAGUAGACUUAAGCUUUCAUGGAAAAUUCUUUUAUGGUAAGACGACCGAAAGAGGAAAAUGGCGUGAAUUGAGCCUUGGGAGUGUUGUCCACGUGAGUAAGAUCUUAGCGGGCAACAACAAAUGAGAGAAAUACUUGAAAAAGGUACAGCAAUUUCGAUGCAGUCGAAAAUGGAUCUGUUGACAGGCUCAGCAACAAAGACAAAGACAAUAAUAUAAACAAUAAAAUCUGUCAGAUUAGACAGAUUCAUAUUACUUCAAUUAAUAGAAUACUUAAACAAAUCACUGAAAAUGUUUCCCCCAAUCAAGCCUCCAGCUUUUCUCCUUCGUGGAUCUUUCGCUUUUAUUCACUUGGCCUCUCGCUUUUCUGGGGAAACUUCUUCUACUUUCCAGGGAAAUAUUCGAUAUCACAUAGCGAAUGUUGAUGGGAGUUUCUUGUUGAAGAUCAGAAAAUGGAAGAACUGAUAAGGUCGGGGAGGUCGCUUUCGGAGACUCCAACAUAUGCCGUUGCUACUGUGGUUUCUGUUUUGGUAUUUGUUUGUUUUCUGGUUGAGCGCUCUAUCUACCGAUUUGGAAAGUGGUUGAAGAAAACUAGAAGGAAGGCUCUCUUUGCUUCUUUGGAGAAGCUUAAGGAAGAGCUUAUGCUGCUU